GAACUUUUGUGCCCAUUCAAACACACUUCGUGACAAAACACUUUCUCCAUAAUGUGCAUUAAAUCUUUGAUAAAUAUAGGCAUCAAACAUAACCUCCGACCACAAGAAACGAAUCACAGCAUCCUGCACUGUUUUCCUGCAAAUCACCAUUGCAAAGCGCCAUUACUCGCGCAACGGUCACAAACGAAUUGACGUAACACAAAGAAACCUGCGCAGCAGCACUGAACAGAUAUUGACGUCAUACGAAGAGUGCAGAUGGAUCAAUACGGUCGACAGAAGUUUUAACUAUCUGGAGUGCGGAUAAAUUUUUACUGAGAGUCGUAUAGGAAUCUAUAAUCUAGUACUUUCCAAAAUACGCCGAGAGUAUUCCUGAUGGUGAAACGAGCGUUGCUUCAUCGAACGCAGCUAAAGAAAACAACAUCUAUGUAGUUGGUGGUACGAUGCCUGAAAUAGAGGGCGCUAAAUUGUACAAUACCUGUACUAUUUGGGGUCCCGAUGGAACUUUGAUAGCAAAACACCGAAAGGUACAUCUAUUCGACAUCGACAUUCCUAAUAAGAUUACUUUUCGAGAGAGUGAUUCACUCAGUCCUGGUAACUCCCUAACGACGUUCGAUGUGAAGGGCUGCAAAAUAGGUAUUGGCAUUUGCUAUGAUAUUAGAUUCGAGGAAAUGGCACGCAUUUAUCGGAACAAAGGUUGCCAAAUGCUGAUAUAUCCAGCGGCAUUCAAUAUGACCACUGGACCACUGCACUGGUCAUUACUUCAGCGUUUCAGAGCGAAUGAUAAUCAAUUAUACGUUGCCUGCAUAUCACCGGCUCGUGUUCCUUAAGCAAGUUACGUCGCAUGGGGACAUACACAGUUGACCAAUCCCUGGGGAAAGAUUCUUUACGAUUUGGAAACUCAAGAGAAUAUGGCAGUCACCGAUAUCGAUCUAAAAGUUGUUGAGGAAGUAAGA